rnacentral:rRNA from 1 species
GCGAGGCCGAAAGGCGUAGUCGAUGGGAAACAGGUUAAUAUUCCUGUACUUGGUGUUACUGCGAAGGGGGGACGGAGAAGGCUAUGUUAGCCGGGCGACGGUUGUCCCGGUUUAAGCAUGUAGGCUGAUUGUCCAGGCAAAUCCGGAUAAUCAAGGCUGAGGUGUGAUGACGAGGCACUACGGUGCUGAAGUAACAAAUGCCCUGCUUCCAGGAAAAGCCUCUAAGCAUCAGGUAACAUCAAAUCGUACCCCAAACCGACACAGGUGGUCAGGUAGAGAAUACCAAGGCGCUUGAGAGAACUCGGGUGAAGGAACUAGGCAAAAUGGUGCCGUAACUUCGGGAGAAGGCACGCUGGUGUGUAGGUGAAGCCCCUGCGGGUGGAGCUGAGACCAGUCGAAGAUACCAGCUGGCUGCAACUGUUUAUUAAAAACACAGCACUGUGCAAACACGAAAGUGGACGUAUACGGUGUGACGCCUGCCCGGUGCCGGAAGGUUAAUUGAUGGG